GAUGAUAACAGAUGGGGACAUGGGCAUGG
rnacentral:piRNA from 1 species